CAAAAACUUUGGAGACCAAGACUUCGGGAACAAAGCCUAAACAGGCUUCAAAGGCAGAACGACCAACAACUGCAGAUAAACCAAAAACUUUGGAGACCAAGACUUCGGGAACAAAGCCUAAACAGGCUUCAAAGGCAGAACGACCAACAACUGCAGAUAAACCAAAAACUUUG